GCUGUUUGAAUUUUCUGGUACUGAUUAAAACCCAUUUCCUGGAGGUGGCAAUAGGUGGGAUAUAAUCCAAGAAAAAAGCUUACAAUUAGACAUAUAUAUAUAUAUAUAUGCAUGUAAAUAUAGUUGCAAUUAUCUCAAAACCAAGCCCAGGAAAAAGGAAUCAGCUUGAAGUGUUGGAAAAAGAUCAUAAUAGGGCUCUAUCCUACACUGUGGAAAUAUUUGCAAUUCACACAUAAAUAUAUAUAUAUAUGUAUCUAUCGGCCGAAGUAACAGCAACUGAAAAGUGUAUGUAUAUAUAUUGAAAAGCUUGGAUCAUUUCUGGGGAAGGAGAUUUAUUAGCACAGCAGUUCUGGUUUGGGG
rnacentral:lncRNA from 1 species